UUGGCAUUGGGAUGGAGAGUCUGACCGAGCACGCCGCGUGAGUGAAGAAGGUUUUCGGAUCGUAAAACUCUGUUGUUAGAGAAGAACAAGGACGUUAGUAACUGAACGUCCCCUGACGGUAUCUAACCAGAAAGCCACGGCUAACUACGUGCCAGCAGCCGCGGUAAUACGUAGGUGGCAAGCGUUGUCCGGAUUUAUUGGGCGUAAAGCGAGCGCAGGCGGUUUCUUAAGUCUGAUGUGAAAGCCCCCGGCUCAACCGGGGAGGGUCAUUGGAAACUGGGAGACUUGAGUGCAGAAGAGGAGAGUGGAAUUCCAUGUGUAGCGGUGAAAUGCGUAGAUAUAUGGAGGAACACCAGUGGCGAAGGCGGCUCUCUGGUCUGUAACUGACGCUGAGGCUCGAAAGCGUGGGGAGCAAACAGGAUUAGAAACCCCAGUAGUCCC
rnacentral:rRNA from 1 species